rnacentral:rRNA from 1 species
AGCCAUUAGAUGAUAUUUAUGGUUAAACCUGCCCAAUGUGAAUAUUAAUGGCCGCGGUACCCUGACCGUGCUAAGGUAGCGUAAUCAGUUGGCUUUUAAAUGGAGUCAGGAAUGAAUGGGAAAACCGGGUCUAACUGUCUCCUAGCUAUUUUUUUGAAUUUACUGUUUAAGUGAAAAAGCUUGAAGUUGAUAAAGGGACGAGAAGACCCUUAGAAUUUUUUUUAAUGUAUAAAUAUUUCUACAAUAAUUUUGUUGGGGCGACAGAGAAAUAACUAUAACUUUCUUUAGAUACAAGCCGAUUUUGUUAAGUGAGGAUAAAUUACCUGAGGGAUAACAGCAUAAUUCUACAAUUGAGUUUGUGACCUCGAUGUUGGACUAGGAAACUAACAGGCUAGCCGUUUGUUGUGUGGGUUCUGUUCGAACUUUAAUUCCUA